UACGUAGGGGGCAAGCGUUGUCCGGAUUUAUUGGGCGUAAAGAGCGUGUAGGCGGCUGGGUAGGUCCGUUGUGAAAACUCGAGGCUCAACCUCGAGACGCCGAUGGAAACCCCCCAGCUAGAGUCCGGAAGAGGAGAGUGGAAUUCCUGGUGUAGCGGUGAAAUGCGCAGAUAUCAGGAAAAACACCCGUGGCUAAGGCGGCUCUCUAGUACGGUACUGACGCUGAGACGCGAAAGCGUGGGGAGCGAACAGG
rnacentral:rRNA from 1 species